rfam:Ajellomyces capsulatus NAm1 scaffold_7 genomic scaffold, whole genome shotgun sequence.
CUCAUCACAACAAACCCAGAUCUGUGUCCAGCAGUCCUGAUCCAACCAGAGUAUUCGUGCUCUGGUUGUGUUUCGGUUGUUAUUGCUGGACAGCUCGACGAUUCAUGGAGCCAUCAAGGAUUACCCCUCAAAUGGUGUCAAUUUCCGGUCGACAGAUCUCAGAGAGAACCUCAGCGGCCCAGUUUUUCCUUUUUGCCUUGUGUGAAAGGGAAUUUAACACUCUGCCUUGAGUUCCCUCCCCGUUUCGACGGGCUGGUGAAUUCGGUAAGGUGGCUGGGUUCCUUCUGAGGGCGUCAUAUUCCACCUCCCUUUACCGAUCUUGGUCCCUUUUCCAAUUGCUUGGGGAAGGGAUUGUGGCCGUCGGCUGAUGAGGUUAGGGAAAAACCAUGACCUGCCAACAUAU